AUCUUUGUGCAUAAAGUAAUGAUACAACUAGUGAGGUAAAGCCGAAGCCUUUUGAUUGCUGGUUGAAAAUUAUUUUCAAUAAACCAACGGCUUGUAGAACAUGUCUAAGAUAGCAAGACUGCUAUAAUAUUUUCAUUACUCAAAAAUG